rnacentral:rRNA from 1 species
ACGGCUCAGUAACACGUGGAUAAUCUGCCCUAAGGUGGAGGAUAACCUCGGGAAACUGAGAACAAUACUCCAUAGGUCUAGGAUGCUGGAAUGCACUUAGGCUGAAAAUUUCGGUGCCUUAGGAUGAGUCUGCGGACUAUCAGGUUGUAGUCAGGGUAAAGACCUGACUAGCCUACGACGGAUACGGGUUGUGAGAGCAAUAACCCGGAGAUGAUAUCUGAGACACGAUAUCAGGCCCUACGGGGCGCAGCAGGCGCGAAAACUUCGCAAUGUGCGAAAGCACGACGAGGGAAUCCCAAGUGUUGGCUCUUCUUGAGUCAUCUGUUUUUCUGUCUAAAAAACAGAGAGAGUAAGGGCUGGGUAAGACGGGUGCCAGCCGCCGCGGUAAUACCUGCAGCCCAAGUGGUGAUCGUUAUUAUUGGGCCUAAAACGUCCGUAGCCGGUUUAGUAAAUGCCUAGGUAAAUUGUACGGCUUAACCGUACGAAUUCUGGGUAGACUGCUAGACUCGGAACCGGGAGAAGCUAGAGGUACUCCUGGGGUAGAGGUGAAAUUCUGUAAUCCUAGGGGGACGACCAGUGGCGAAGGCGUCUAGCUAGAACGGGUUUGACGGUGAGGGACGAAGCCCUGGGGCGCAAACGGGAUUAGAUACCCCGGUAGUCCAGGGUGUAAACGCUGCUCGCUUGAUGUUAGUUGGGCUCCGAGCCCGAUUAGUGUCGGAGAGAAGUUGUUAAGCGAGCUGCCUGGGGAGUACGGUCGCAAGACUGAAACUUAAAGGAAUUGGCGGGGGAGCA